GCGGUUGCUGUGACUUCUGUCCUCCGCCUGUUGAUAUCUGUCCGCUCACGGGGCUACCAAUCAUGUCACGGCUUAGAAGACGAGCGCAGCGCCAGUGCUGGUUGGACGCCCACUGCGCCAGCGACUCCGUGUGCUGUGCCGACCAGUGCCACCAUCACGUCAAAAUCUGCAAGAGGAAGCCGAGGAGGGUGAACGCUGUGGCUAACCUUCCUUCUCAGGUGAAUGUGACAGUCAUCAUGACCUCAGCCUCGGCCGACAGCCAGCAGUUCCUGUCCUCUUAUCUCGUUCC